rnacentral:lncRNA from 12 species
AUUACAAUAGGCCUAUAAUAGUCUAAUAAUAUUUUAUUACUGUGUUAAUUGACGAAUGUAGUUUUAGAUGUAUUGUUUUUGAAAACGAAAUCAACCUGUAUAUCUAAAUCACUCCGUGGCUUCUUUAAAAUGAUUUUUAGACGUGUUGCUGUAUAAGACGCGCUCGCUGGAUCAGUAGAUGGCGCCACAACAACUCCGUUCCGCUGUUGAGUUGUCAUUUCAUCACGCUAGACUCGUUGUGUCCUUUAAAAAUAAAACUAUUACUGUCGCAUAAUUAAUUUUAGGUCGCGUAAUUAUAGCACACGGACAGCCGUUUUGCCUCUGCGCUAAAUUUAAAGCAUUUCCAGCGUGAGAAUAUUCGCGUGUCACCGCGUCAAAUGUCUAUAACAAACGUUCCCCGAGUUUAAUGGUUCCGCCCGGAUAUAUAGAAAGAUUUAUCCAACAUACAUUUUCCUCGGAGGCUGACGUCAACGUUAUUUUGGGUGUGGAAGCGUGGAGUCCAGACAGCGCCACCUGGUGUACAAGAAUGAGCCUGCAAGGACAAUCAAAAGGUACAUUUCAAACAUCAUUCGACUCUUGGAUACUCUUUAUUAAACAUUGUACUAAUGCUAGCAUGAUUAUUACUGACUCAGUCCUAGGAACAGUUGUUAGAACGAAUAUAAAAACAAAUGGGAUACAAAUAUAUCCGUGCCAUUUAUUGGUUAGUGGCUGUUAUUUUAUUUAUUUUAAAUAAUUAAUCAUUUAUGCUACUGUUCAGAGGUUUGGGAGUCAGUAAGUUUUUUUUUUUUUUUCAGAAAUUAAUACUUUUAUUCUUCAAGGUCACAAAAACCUUAUCAUUACAGGCAGUAAAGACAUUUUUAAUGUUCAAAAAUAUUCCCAAUUAAAUAAAUGCUGUUCUUUUGAGCUUUAUAUUAAUCAAAGAAUCAGAGAAAAAAAAAAUUAUCAUCACAGUGUUCACACAAAAAAAACAAUUGUUUUUACAAUUGAUUACAAUAAGAUAUGUUUCUCGAGCAUCAAAUCAUCAUAUUAGAAUGAUUUCUGAAGGAUCAUGUGACACUGA